rnacentral:rRNA from 1 species
AUUGAACGCUGGCGGCAGGCCUAACACAUGCCAGUCGAGCGGAUGAAGGGAGCUUGCUCCUGGAUUCAGCGGCGGACGGGUGAGUAAUGCCUAGGAAUCUGCCUGGUAGUGGGGGAUAACGUCCGGAAACGGGCGCUAAUACCGCAUACGUCCUGAGGGAGAAAGUGGGGGAUCUUCGGACCUCACGCUAUCAGAUGAGCCUAGGUCGGAUUAGCUAGUUGGUGGGGUAAAGGCCUACCAAGGCGACGAUCCGUAACUGGUCUGAGAGGAUGAUCAGUCACACUGGAACUGAGACACGGUCCAGACUCCUACGGGAGGCAGCAGUGGGGAAUAUUGGACAAUGGGCGAAAGCCUGAUCCAGCCAUGCCGCGUGUGUGAAGAAGGUCUUCGGAUUGUAAAGCACUUUAAGUUGGGAGGAAGGGCAGUAAGUUAAUACCUUGCUGUUUUGACGUUACCAACAGAAUAAGCGCCGGCUAACUUCGUG